AGGCGGGCUCUGGUUCACAGACUCGAGGUCCGGAAAAGUCAGAUCUGACCACACCGACUGUCAGAGCAGGAUCCUGCAGUGAUUCCCCAAGAGCGGGAGGCCGCGUCCCACUGGGCGUCGUGUCCCCGAACGCGGGAGGCGCAGCGCUGGGAACUCGGCAGCUGCUCGGUGGCUCAGUCUCGUGAGUAAAGGAGCGACGUCCCGAUGCUGACCACAGCGCGGCCGACCCCGGCGUGCACCGCUUUGCGAGCCCCCGUGUCCCAGGCACGGCGCCGGGCCUCACGCGUCCUCACAACGGAGGAGGAGUCCGGGGUCGGUGCCUCGUGGUUGAGAAGCCUGCAGCAGGUCGCCCUCGCAGGGAGAGCCGGGGCGCAGAGUGGGGUCUGCUCGUGCUCCGGGGCCAAUGCCUCCCCUCACUCUGGUGUCCUGGGCUUGUAAUGCCGCACGUGGACGUGAGCAAACGCUGCUUUUAAUGAUUUACGUGGAACAGGAGGGGCGGGAGGUGUAAGCGGCAGGAGGCACAGCACACGCCAAGUUUGUGCAGGAAACGGAGGUUUGGGUACGUUUUCCCCCUCACAGAUGCCCUCAGUGCCCGUGCUUUGGGUGCACCUCCAUCCCCUGGGCACCCAGGGACCCGGGUUCUGCCCCAACGAGGUCCUGGUUUCGGGGAGGCAGCUGGCCCUGGGAAAGGACAAAGCGCGGAGUGACGCGUGCAUGUGUCAGAGGAACGUUCCCGUCGUUUCGGGAAGCAUCAAGGAGGAUCGGCCACCUGUGUUUGGGGCGUUCAGACAGACGUCAGCAGGAAGGUGUGCCUGCCCCGGAUCUCGAAGGAGCCAGGCCAGGGGAGAGUGGAGAACGCACUGGGGCUUCCAGGAGACGGACGCCAGCCACGGAUAACUUAUGGCGAGGAAGGGAAGCCGCCUUCACGAGGGGCAUCCAGACGGCUAACCACGUCCUCCACGGGCCCGCCUCGUCCCAUCUCUCGCCGAUGCCCGCGGCGCUUCACCGUUUUGCGCUGCGGAGACCAAGAGACAGGCCGGCUGGGAAGCCUGUGAUCUGCGGAGUUGCAUCCGGACUCUAGACACGAGGGGGCAGGGUCCACCGCCCUCUCCUUUCGGGGCGAACGAGAGAUCCCUCGGAGCCGGGGCACGCCUGGUUGGGAGCUGCAGAGCCAGAAUCAGCACAAUAUUUCUUGUUAAUGUGGGGAUGCAAGCAGUUGUGCUGAGCAGACAUAUUUCCCCACUGAAAAUCUGUAGUAAUUGAUUUUUAAAUCUCCUGUAGAAAAUGCUCUCUUUCCCGUCCCUUCCUUUGUUGUCAAGAUACUGCUUCAUGCGAGCACGUUUCUGAUCCUACCCCCUUCUAUCUCCACGCAGUAACUAAUAGUUUUAUCAGAAUCUCUUGCCAGGAUAGGCCCUCCUAUUUCUUCACCCAGACCUUCGUUUGCGCGCAGCGGGCCCACCUGAGCUGAGCUGGAGGGAGAAAGUCAGAGGCCGCCUUUGCAGAAUGACAGAGAACCGAUGCGCACAGCCGACCGACUUUCAAAUGCCUGACAGACGACUGGUAAAGAGGACGUCUCUGUUCACGCAAGAUCUCUUACAAAAUGAAAUACGUUGCAUCUUCCGAACACGUCGUAGGCAUCUGGGAGCCCACAUCUGAAAUGAUCCGGUUGGUCUCCAAGUGUCGGGUUCCACGCUGAACCUGGUGGUUACAAGGAGCUGCACGUGGGGUUCGCGGUGGUGGCCGGCGUCCCCUGGCUGAGAUGUGAGCAGCCGUGCCGCCUCUGAGAGCACGCGCGUGUGGCCGCAGGGCGGCGGCUGGCAUCUUUGAUCUGUGAUAGUCGUCGUCUGCUCUGGUCCCUGCGUCCGGCUGAGGGCCGGGGUCUGGCCCGGGGUAACUG
rnacentral:lncRNA from 12 species